UACGUAGGGUGCAAGCGUUGUCCGGAAUUAUUGGGCGUAAAGAGCUCGUAGGCGGUCUGUCACGUCGGGAGUGAAAACUCAGGGCUUAACCCUGAGCCUGCUUCCGAUACGGGCAGACUAGAGGUAUGCAGGGGAGAACGGAAUUCCUGGUGUAGCGGUGAAAUGCGCAGAUAUCAGGAGGAACACCGGUGGCGAAGGCGGUUCUCUGGGCAUUACCUGACGCUGAGGAGCGAAAGUGUGGGGAGCGAACAGG
rnacentral:rRNA from 1 species